rnacentral:lncRNA from 1 species
UUUUUUUUAUUUUUUAUUUUUUUAAAUAUUUAUUUAUGAGAGAGAGAGAGAGAGAGAGAGACAGACAGAGAGAGGCAGAGACACAGGAGGAGGGAGAAGCAGACUCCAUGCCAGGAGCCUGACGUGGGACUUGAUCCCGGGACUCCAGGAUCACGCCCUGGGCCAAAGGCAGGUGCUAAACCGCUGAGCCAUCCAGGGAUCCCCAUCAGUCUGUGUUUAAAAGCUCCCCUAGCUUUCUUAAAUUUAGCCAAGUCAGGGUCAGCACUUUAGGAAUGUUUGCUACCUUUCCAUUGGGGAAUGCCCCCUGCCUGCUCUCUGGGAUGUGCCAAGGCCACUGGGCCAGGGAGUCUGAGGCUCCUGCUGAUGAGCGCUGAGAUGCCCAGUACCUUUAGCGAUAGAGAAGCAAACCAGAACAGGACAGCAACUGGAAGGUGGGAGCUACGAGCCAGCCUACAGGAGGCUGCAGGCCGUCAGGCUCCGGGUCCAAAUGGGCCUGUCUUGCCAAGGAGCAGUCAGGAUUGGAGCCUGCAUACUGUAUGGGAGUCUGGAGUGCCGCAUGGAGGUUCCUAACAUGCCAAACACAUACACAUCUGGCAGCCCAGUGUCCCUUCACCCCUAAAGACAGAGCGUAAAUCUAUGAUUGGCCAUGACCAGCAAUUCUCUCUCUCGAGGUCUAUUAAAUAAGAAGAGGAAAAUAAAAUGAGAAAGCAAAGACUAGACGAAAUAGCUGUAAUAGCCCAUAAAAGAGUGGAUGAUUUGUGCCUAUCUGAAAGCUGGUCUCUAGAUGAGUUGCCACUGUUGAAUGCCAGAACCUUACUUGACACUCCACAAGGCCUGCUGGGCACCUGCUUCCUGGACAUAUGGCACAUGCUCCUACCAGGCAGGCAGCUUUCCAAACGGGACUCAUGUAGAAUGGUGACCUGGAAGCUGGACAGGCAUGUCUCCUCCACCAGGGCCUAAGCUCCAUGAGGGCACAGGUUUCCUGGUGUUUUAGCACAGUGCCUGCCCCCAGCAUACACUUGAUAGCCAUUUACUGAAUUACGAAUGGGCAUUUCUUGAUCCGCUCAAGAGGUACGGUCUUUCUGCUAGAAGCAGCCUUCCCCUAAGAGGCUGACUCAAACUCAGCCCCAUUCUUAAAUCAGUGAGGACUCCUAGCUACAGUAACCGAAAUUGACUCCUAGCUAUAGUAACAGCACCGCUCUUGUAUCAGUGAGGACUCCUAGCUAUAGUAAACAGAAAAGAAGGAAACAGAAAAGGAAGGCAGCCUUUUGGAAGGCCGUAGAACAGUGCUCCGAAUCAUCAGAAAGGCUGGGUGGGAGGCUAGGCAGGCUGGGCCCCAGAGCCCCGGCCACACGUCAGGGAGGAUCUGGGCCUGGCUGCACGUUCCCGAUGGCUGCUCUAUGCUGCCCGCCCUCCAAAUGAUGCAGAUGCAUCUGCCAAGACUGAAUGCUGUGGCGAAUAUCCCAGCUCUCCUGAAUCUUCCAGCCACUCCCUCAAAAGUCAAAGCCUGGGACGCCUGGGUGGCUCAGCAGUUGAGGAUCUGCCUUCACCUCAGGGCGUGAUCCUGGAGCCCCAGGAUCGAGUCCCCCAUCAGGCUCCCUGCGUGGAGUCUGCUUCUCCCUCUGCCUGUGUCUCUGCCUCUCUGUUUCUCUCUGUGUCUCUCAUGAAUAAAUAAAAUAAAAUAAAAUAAAAUAAAAUAAAAUAAAAUAAAAAGUCAAAGCCUUAGUCAGGAGCAUCUGAGUAGCUGAGCUACCCGGUUGGGUACCCGGGCUCUAGUUCCCCAGGGAUGGAGAGGAGCAGUCCCUGGGCCCUAUGGAUUUCCUCACACUCUCCAGGAAGACAACCCUCCCCACCUCCAAGCAGGAAUGGGUGUUCCAACUCCGGGGGAGGGGGUGCCCCUCCCACCCAGAGGUUAAGUCCACUACAACAUGGAAUCCCAUCUUCAACUUCCACAGGGGUUUUAUUCCAUCAGAUUUUUUAAAAGUAGCAGAGUUGAGGCAGGAGUGAGCUCCCUUGCUAGGUGUGUAACUGAGUCCGUUUUACAAUCUAGUGUUUACAAUAUGUUAAAUCCACAGCCAAGAGGAAACCACUGCAGUUGUAACUUUAGCCUGUGGUUAUCAAGGGAGGCUGGGGACACCGUCUAGGGGAGGUGUUUCCAACCGUGGAGUGGCUGUGAGGGGGAGCACAGUUGCAGUCUUGGCUGAAGGCAGGGGUCUGGACAAAACGACUUUUCUUUCCUAGUGGAGUUUGGCCCCAGGGCUCUCGGCCCAGUGGCUGACACCUCCUCUCAUUCCCGUCCCUGCUGUCACACUAAGAGUGUCUGUCUGUGUCUGCUAGCUCUCCCAGAUGUGUCCUCUGACAUCUGGGAGCCAUGUCAGCAUACGGAGGUGAUACAUGAGUCAGGCUGCUGCCUCUCGGUGCUUGCAAUCUGCUCUGCUCCCCUCCUCCCCACAGGCAGGCACCGAUUCCACAGCCAGGCCAUGAGAAAGGGGAGCAGAGCAUGGUUGUGUAGGCACCACGGGGGCAGAGCACAGCCUGUGCCUUCCUGGGUCGCCCAGUGGCUGUUGCUAGGGUCCUGAGAUAAUGGGGAUACUGUCAUCGGUUUCAUGUUUUUUUCAUCCAAGCCAAGAGGGUGAGUGAUUCCCACUUCUGUGUUCUCAACUUUCUUUUCUCAGAAGUGGCGAGGAUGCCCCUCAGGUUUGGCCAGAUCCUACUAAAUGGGUUAAAGGUAGAGGUGAUUCCAGAGACUGAAGAGCCUUCACUCUGCAGUGGUUGGGGGCCAUGUCUAUUAUGAUGUCAUGGCAUGAGUGAAGUUAACUGAAGAAGGGAGGUUUGGCCCACCUUGAAGUGCUUCCAGCCAACAUUCCCCAUCUUCCAAUAAAGCACAGAUAUGCAAAUAAUUGCAUGUGAAAUGAUAAGUGCUUGGGGCCUUCACCCAAGGAGCUGGGUUGGUGGGUUUGGUAGUUUCAGAUUUUUUUCUCAUUCCCCUUUUGCUCAAAAACAGCCUGCCUAGAGACACAACCUGAGAAGUGUGGGCUGAAAGUGAUUCCCCCUCUGAAAGGGUUGGCCCCAGGAAGCCUCAGGACAGAGCUGCCACAGCUCCAGGAACCGGGGCAGUGGGGACAGAGUGCCAGGCACUUGUCUGUCACGUGUCCCCCUGCCCCCCAGUAGCCUUGUUACAGAUCUUGGAAAACAGGGGAAAAUAGGUCGGUUAAAUGUGGACCCAAUUAAAUCACAUCCUGGUCUUGGCAACACAGAAAGGUAGAGGAAAGCAAAGUUGUUUCUGAGGCCUUCUACCUCCACCCACCUAUCUCUAACUAAAUGCACAAAAGAAAAGGGAUUUUUCUUAUAGGAAGAGAAGAAAUAUCAACCUUCAUUAAAAUAAAGAAAGAGCCAUCACUAUAAACCACAUAGAGAAAAUGCAGGGGAAUUUGGAAGAAUACUGAAAGCUGACAAAGCUCCUCAGACUUUGGAUAAGAUUUGGAUUUCUCUAAAGGCAAAUGUCACAUCCAGAAAGGCGCCCCAGUAUAUGAGAGUUUCAAGAUACAGAGGAAAGUGUGGGAACUUGCGGUAUAGACCAGAGGGUGUUCUUCUGUCUCUAUGUUGGCUCCAGUGCUUCUGGGCAGAGAGCCCCCGGCCCAGAGAUACUUCCAGAAGAGAGUGUGGAGGAUGCACGGAAACAGCUUCGUGGGUCACAGCCCACAGCACCUGUGAUAAAAACACGCACCCCUGUGCAUCCACCCACAUAUGUAUCGUUGCUCUGCCGAAGAGACACCAAAAGUACAGCUAGAACCAUUGGAAGGUCUAUGGGAGAAAGGUUUCCUGGAUUAAAAGCUUGAAACUAUCAUUUGAAAAAGCCAGAAUACAUCCCACCAUCAAAUCAAGACACAUCCUGGCCAAUCACUAAACCUCAAGAGUAAAGAAGGACUCCCCUGGACAUCCACCAGGUGGAGAAAGGCAAAUCACCUAAAAACAACAACAACAACAACACUCAAGCUUGCCCUAAACUGACCACAGCAAUGUUCAAUGCCGGAAGACACUGAAGCAAUGUCCACAAUUGUGAGCAAAACAACUUUGGGUCAUCUAUGUGUUUUAAACCCAGGCAGGUUACUCUCUGCUCCAUGCACACCAAUAGGCAAGGAGAGGCAGGCAUUCUCAAGAAUGUCACAAUUCAGGGAACAUGACAUCAAAGAGGCUAUGAGCGCAAGGUAUGGGGUGGGGGAGGAUGGAAUCUGGUUGACGCUGAAGUAAACAAAAAACGUUAGAACCUGUCUAUCAAAGUUUGGUUACUGGGGCAGCCACACAGACAUCAUGAGAGAGCUUGUUAGAAACAAAGGCCCUACGGCCCCACCUCAGACCUACUGCACCAAAAUCUGCAAUUUAACCUAACCCUCAAGCACUUCAUAUGCACUUUAAAGCCUGGGACCACUAGGCCAGAAUAAAGAAUCAGCAUGAAAGACAGGGAAUGGCAUUGAAGAGGGUGGGGGGCUGGCAAAGCCUCUACACAGGGCGCAGAGCACAGACACCACGAAGCUCCUUGAUGGAAACGUAGUGGCAUAAGACAUCCAGGGUUUGGGGUGUGGGGAGUGGCAGGACAUUGCCAGACACUGAAAUUUUGGAACUGAGGGGAAAAAAAAAAAUCACAUCUUUCCCCUUGCCCAAAUUAGAAACUUUACAGAAAUUGUUUCAGAAAUUGAAAACUUGCAACGAAGAAAAAUAUUUCUGAACUUCAGCACUUUCUGAAGUUCCAUUUGAAUUUUUGUCUAUUAAAUUCAAAUCAAAUUAAACAUAUUGCUUUUAAUUUAAAAAUGUGUACAGUAACAUUCUAUUUUUGUAAAAGUGUUUCAAUUUACCUAAUUAGCUAUCAUGCUAUCAGAGAAAGAAUUGUGGUGAUGAUGUUCACCAAAUGUUAAUUUCUUCUCCGUGGUGGAAUUUGAAGUAAUUUUUUCUUUUUCUUUUUCUUUUUCUUUUUCUUUCUCUUUUUUUGGGGCACAUUUGUAUACCACCUAAUUGAAAAAAACGAAUAAUGGGCUUGUAUCCCCUUCACAAAAAAACAUCCUUAAGAAGCAUAAUCAGAAAGGUCUUUGUUUGGAAUAAGAGAUUUCAAUGAUGUUCUAAUUAGUACUUAAAUUGUAUCAAUCUUAAGGAAAAAAUAAUUAAAAUGAGGUUAAAGAAGUCAAAUUGAGAGAUAAGCCAGCUAAAAACUGAACUACUCUAGGUCCAACAAAUAGCAUUUUCCAGUACCAAGAUGUUAUGACAACCUUGGAAUGCUUUGUAUUAAGACGUUUCUCUGGCAGUUUGAAAACCUUCUGGUGCCCUGGGCAGGUGCUUACAGCCUUUGAGGGUA